rnacentral:rRNA from 1 species
GGGGGUAGUUUGCACAAUGGGCGCAAGCCUGAUGCAGCGACGCCGCGUGAGGGAUGAAGGCCUUCGGGUUGUAAACCUUUUUCGCUCAUGGUCAAGCCGCAGCUUUGGGACGUGGUGAUGUUCGUGGGUAAAGAAGCGCCGGCUAACUACGUGCCAGCAGCCGCGGUAAUACGUAGGUCGCGAGCGUUGUCCGGAAUUAUUGGGCGUAAAGGGCUUGUAGGCGGUUGGCCGCGUCUGCCGUGAAAUCCUCUGGCUCAACUGGGGGCGUGCGGUGGGUACAGGUUGACUUGAGUGCGGAAGGGGAAACUGGAAUUCCUGGUGUAGCGGGGGAAUGCGCAGAUAUCAGGAGGAACACCGGUGGCGAAGGCGGGUCGCUGGGCCGUUACUGACGCUGAGGGGCGAAAGCGUGGGGAGCGAACAGG